rnacentral:lncRNA from 1 species
CUCAGAUUCACAGCCUCUCGUUACUCUAAUUGUCAUUGUGUGCACACAGUGGGUGUGCCAUUCCCUGGGGAAGAAGCUCUCUCCGGCUUCCAGCUUUCCUCAGUUGCCUAUAGUUCUUCACGUCCUGCAAUUCUACAUGCACAAAGAACUAAGCUCUGCUUUGUGCACAAAAAUCUGUUUAACAUACAUUCUUAUUGUGGACUCGUUAAACCUAGCUAAUUUACACAUAUAUUAUCUUGCUCAUGUUUUGCGAUGAAAACACUGAAAAUCCUUUAGCACUACUCUUCAAACAUAAAGUAAAUCAUCACUAACUAUAGUCACCAUGCUAUGCAAUGAAUCUCUUGAAAUUAUUUACCCAACAUAACUAAAAUUUUUAUCCCUUAAACAAUAUUCUUCCAAAUACAAAUGCCUUAUUCUAUUUCUUACCUUUUCCUGUGUGUUUUGGAGAAUUGAAGCCUUUUAGAUUCCAUAAUUGGUGUCAGGUGUUGAACAUUUGUUUUCUAGGCUGGCAUUGUUCACUUUAUGACACUGUAGACAGAUUUCUUUGCUUCCCAGUUAUCAGACAUCCUGCAUUGUGAGGUUGAAUAUACUUCAUUAUCCACAGGACACAUAUUUUCAUUGCCCAUUAAUCUACCAAGGGAGACUUAAGUCAAUCCCAGAAUCUGUUACAAAAUAUGAGAAAAUGAACAUACUAGUGCACACAUCUUUUUACCACUUCCUUUAUAUAUUCUUGCUAUUCUGAUAGUGGGAUUUAAUGCAGAUUUUGGGUGC